rnacentral:rRNA from 1 species
CACGUAGGGCGCAAGCGUUGUCCGGAAUUAUUGGGCGUAAAGAGCUCGUAGGCGGUCUGUUGCGUCCGCUGUGAAAACUCGGGGCUUAACCCCGAGCCUGCAGUGGAUACGGGCAGACUAGAGGUAGGUAGGGGAGAAUGGAAUUCCUGGUGCAGCGGUGAAAUGCGCAGAUAUCAGGAGGAACACCGAUGGCGAAGGCAGGUCUCUGGGCCACUACUGACGCUGAGAAGCGAAAGCAUGGGGAGCGAACAGG